UCCGAUGUAGGACCGCGAUCUAUGUUUUCAACGCUACUCUGGCAACAAGAAACUCAACAGCGAGAAAGUGACCGCGCGACUCUGCCGGCAACCCCUCACGCUGACCAUCUUGGGCGCACCAGCCACAUGCGACAGCCGCCCUGAUUUAGGCGCUUUGCUCUUCUGCGUGACCUCUCCGCCCUCUUUUUCUUGUGUAUUCGUCUCGCAGCCUCUAUCAGUAGCCCCUCUGCGAUGCUUCGUUGCACCGCCUCCGCGCUCUUCAAGUCGCUUGCCGUGUGGGGCGGCGGCACGAUGGGCAGCGGCAUCGCGCAGAUCACAGCUCAGGCGGGUGUCCCGGUGACUGUGGUGGAGGUCUCACAGGCGCGGCUGGACGCGUCGCGCAAGUCGAUCGAGACGUCGUUGCUGCGGAUCGCCAACAAAAAGUGCGACGGUGAUCAGGGCAAGAUGAAGGCAUUCGUGGACACGGUGCUUUCUCACGUCACGUUCACGACGGACGAAGCCGUGGCUGCUGGCGGCGCGGAGCUGAUCAUCGAGGCGAUUGUGGAGAACAUCGGCGCGAAGAAGGAGCUCUUUGGCCGCCUGGACAAGAUGGCGCCGACGUCGACGGUGUUCUGCUCGAACACGUCGUCUCUGAGCAUCACGGAGAUGGCGUCCGCAACGACACGCAAGGACCGAUUUGCCGGCAUGCACUUCUUCUCGCCCGUGCCGAUGAUGAAGCUGCUCGAGGUGGUGCGCACAGAGGAAGUGAGCCCAGCCAUCAUCGAGCAGCUUACCGCCUUCGGCAAGAAGGUAGGGAAGAUCCCUGUUGUUGCGAAGGACACGGAGGGCUUUAUCGUGAACCGCCUUCUCGUGCCAUAUCAAAUGGAGGCGUGCAGGCUGGUGGAGCGUGGCGUCGCGACUUUCCGGGAUGUGGACACUGCUAUGAAGUUCGGCUGCGGCUACCCGAUGGGACCUUUUGAACUCUGUGACAGUGUUGGCAUCGAUGUUAUCAAGUUCAUUGUCGACGGCUGGCAUGCACAGUACCCCAACGAGCCGCUCUUCAAGCCCUCGCCGCUAAUCAAUGAACGGGUUGCCGCUGGCAAGCUGGGUAAGAAGACUGGCGAGGGCUACUACAAGUACGACAGCAAGGGCCGCAAAAUCGAAUCCUGAAAGACGGAUCUUUCCUCCACUCAUUACGUUCUGUCCUGAGGCCCCGGCACAGCCUUCUUCAUGCGUGCAACGAGCACUAUUUUUUUUUUGAUUUCUGCCGCGUGUGGAGCCGUCAAGGACAAGGAUGCAAGACAUCCAAACCAUAUCGGUCCCGUUUUUUUUCUAUUGAUGCAACGCAUCCCUUUGUGCGCCUUACGAGAAGGAAGGGGCGUUGUGGUCUUGUGAUUGUCUCGAGCUUCUCCUCAUGCGAUCGUGCUCGCUGCUUUCCAUACUUGAUCGCCCUGCCCUCUUCUGUGUUCAUCGCUGAUGCGGGGUGUCCGAGGGGCGUCACUGUUAACUCGCGAUUCGGCUCUGCUUUAGUGUGAGAUGCACCGCUUGCUUUCUUUUCCCUUUUUUUCUUGAAAGCACGAAGUAACUUGGGCAAAACAGCAAUUUGAUGGCACCAUGCGUUCACGUUAAAGUUCAGUCCUUCCCGGGCAGCGAUGCCGCGUCGUAUGCGUGUGUGUGUGUGUGUGUGUGUCUUCAUGCGCCGUUCUCUUGAGCAUGAUGUAUUUCUCGGUCUUCCUGCCUGUGUCUCUCUCGUGUUGUUUUUUUUCGUCCAUUGCCGCAUUAGCGCCCCCUGAAUACGGGGGACAGCGCAGCCUGGUAUCAUCGCGUUCGGUGCUCACUCUUUGUGAGGCAUCCAGGAGCCUGCAGCGUACCCACGGGUAUGGCUGCGGGCACUUGGUGUCGGCGGACAGCCCUGUGCUGUUUGUGGCCAACCGAGACGUGAGGUUAUGAUCACAUGCGUACGAGCUCACUAUGAACCGUGUCGACGGUUCAGCAAACAUUACCGAAAGCAAAACUCAUACCAAUGCGCCUCAAAGCGCGUGUGUACGAGACACGCGGCAUCUCUCCUCGAUCCGACCGGGGUGGGCUUUCACGGGGCAGAGAUGCCGGAAGCGGGAUGAGAGCACUCCCGACGUGCACCGCCGAGUCCUCCAGAGCCUCCCAUGUGAAGCGUCACCGCACCACGUGAUGGCAUGCCGCGGGUGGAGGCGACUGAGACGGAGAAGCAUGGCACACAGGCAGGAUGUGCAGGGUCUCGGAGGAGCCUGGCCGGGGGCUGGUGGCCUUCCUCCCUGCGCGCAUCCGGCAUGCACGUGGAGCACCCGCGGCGUCCGCCCUCGAGCAUGCCACCCCGGACGCGGACCGCUUUGGCGCGAGGCAUGCAGUCCACACCGCGCCUCCGUCUGGCGCCGGUUAGACGCGUCUUUCCAUUUCAACUGCCGGACGACUCGCCCGCGGCGAGGAGGAGGCAGCUGUGGCGCAACAGGGGUAGGUGCGCUGUGGUUGCGUACGCGUCUGCGCUUGCGGACCUCUUCACUUUGUCGAACGGGCAUGCCGAGAAGCUGGAGGAGGAGCUCAUCGGCUGCGGUGCUCGGCGUCGUUUGUGAGGAAACUCUCUGUCUUCCUGACUUGUGUGUCUGCAUGUGCAUCGGAUCCCU
rnacentral:misc_RNA from 1 species